AUUGAACGCUGGCGGCAGGCUUAACACAUGCAAGUCGAGCGGAGUGAUGGUGCUUGCACUAUCACUUAGCGGCGGACGGGUGAAUAAUGCUUAGGAAUCUGCCUAUUAGUGGGGGACAACAUCUCGAAAGGGAUGCUAAUACCGCAUACGUCCUACGGGAGAAAGCAGGGGAUCACUUGUGACCUUGCGCUAAUAGAUGAGCCUAAGUCGGAUUAGCUAGUGGGUGGGGUAAAGGCCUACCAAGGCGACGAUCUGUGGCGGGUCUGAGAGGAUGAUCCGCCACACUGGGACUGAGACACGGCCCAGACUCCUACGGGAGGCAGCAGUGGGGAAUAUUGGACAAUGGGGGGAACCCUGAUCCAGCCAUGCCGCGUGUGUGAAGAAGGCCUUAUGGUUGUAAAGCACUUUAAGCGAGGAGGAGGCUCUUUUGGUUAAUACCCAGAAUGAGUGGACGUUACUCGCAGAAUAAGCACCGGCUAACUCUGUGCCAGCAGCCGCGGUAA
rnacentral:rRNA from 1 species